CAGAAGGCGGCUGACACGGAACGGAUCGGCUCCCGAACGAGUGGCGUCGCGGCUCAUUUUAAUCGAACGCGACGAAUACGAGACGGAGACGGAUCGGUUCCGGAACGAGUGGCAUGACUUAUUUAAUUGGAAACAGAUGUGAGUGCCGAAGGAAUAACAAUGCGGAAUGAAGAGAAGAGCCGAAGGAAGCGAGGACCAAUAUGUAACAAUUAAAUAGUGAGAUCAGUCAUCUUGUAUAUGUAUAACUCGUCUAUUGUGUAAUGCAAGUAAAAAAGAGGGUCUGGAUGAUAGAACUCGAGAGGAAAAUGAGGAGGUCUAUGAUGAGAACUAUCGAUGUGCCGGCGGAACAACCUUGCGAAUUAUCGUAGCUAUUGCUGACAACUCCGCUGUCGAUCGAUGAGUGACAAACAACGAAACAACAUUAUUAAUAAGAAGAAAACAAUGCGGAAAGUGUCGCAUUAAGGGAGCUGACAACCCGAGAGGACAGCCUGAGAGGAGGAGGAGGCCUGGGAGAGGCAUCAGGUGCCAGCGGAACAACUUUGCGAAUCAACGUAGCUACGUGGCAGAUAUAAUUCCGCGGUUGCGCAUCAGGGUCGGUGAGUGAUAAAUUAACAUAUUUAUUGUAAUAACAGAUGUGUGGCAAUUAAAUUGUUAAAUAUACGUAUCAUAUGAUUUAGAAAUGUAUGCAA